AGUGGGCCUAUGUCAAAAUAAAGUUUGUUGUACGCGCCGGCGAUCGUAUUCUGAAAAGUUGAUAGUUUGUUGUUGAUAAUAGUGUUUAUUAAUUAAUUUAGUGUCUAUGAAUACUGCCGUAGCAAAAACGCCUCCUAUAACGAUGAGUAAGCUUUACAUUGGCAAUUUACCAACAGAAACUAACGAGAACGAUCUGCGACAACUGUUUGUUGACCAAAAUUUGUCUUGCACUAACAUCCUUGUGAAACGUGGGGGUUAUGCUUUUGUUGAUUGUGCUGAUCAAUCCUCCGCAGACAGGGCUAUUGAUAAAUUGAAUGGUUUCAAUUUCAAUGGUUCCCCUUUGGUUGUAGAGCCUUCUGUUGCAUCAGGAAAAAAAAGGGGGUCUACCACGGCUUUUCCUGAAACACCCACGGUUCAAGUCAACGGUUGGAUGUCUUGGAUGGUGUUGGCCUCCAUCAAGUGGUAACUGAGGCUACUAGAACUACUCGGACCUCUUCAACGUUAAUUGACUACAUAAUAACUUCUGCACCCGAUCUGGUUGUGAAAACUUCUGUCCUGCCAGUCCCUCAGGCGAUCUAACUCGGCUGGUCGUUGACUGUUGUUAUGUCCUGAUGCAGCCGCGGAAAAAACUUUUGUUUGUCCAACUUUGAUUUACAGUGAUAAUGCAACAAUGAAAUGUAAUAGAGUUCAAUAAAUAUAUUUCUUGUCUAGCGUU